rnacentral:rRNA from 1 species
UACGUAGGGUGCGAGCGUUAAUCGGAAUUACUGGGCGUAAAGCGUGCGCAGGCGGUUUUGUAAGCCAGAUGUGAAAUCCCCGGGCUUAACCUGGGAAUGGCAUUUGGGACUGCAAGGCUGGAGUGCGGCAGAGGAGACUGGAAUUCCUGGUGUAGCAGUGAAAUGCGUAGAUAUCAGGAGGAACACCGAUGGCGAAGGCAGGUCUCUGGGCCGAUACUGACGCUGAGGAGCGAAAGCGUGGGGAGCGAACAGG